UACGAGAGGCCCAAACGUUAUUCGGAAUCACUGGGCUUAAAGAGUUCGUAGGCGGCGCGGAAAGUGGGGUGUGAAAGCCCUCGGCUUAACCGAGGAAUUGCGCUCCAAACUACCGCGCUCGAGGGAGAUAGAGGUGAGCAGAACUGAUGGUGGAGCGGUGAAAUGCGUUGAUAUCAUCAGGAAUACCGGAGGCGAAGGCGGCUCACUGGGUC
rnacentral:rRNA from 1 species